rnacentral:rRNA from 1 species
ACGGGAGGCAGCAGUGAGGGAUAUUGGUCAAUGGGCGGAAGCCUGGACCAGCCAAGUCGCGUGAAGGAUGAAGGUAUUAUGUAUUGUAAACUUCUUUAGCUGUGGAGCAAUAAGGGCUAUGUAUAGCCUGAUGAGAGUACACAGAGAAUAAGGAUCGGCUAACCCCGUGCCAGCAGCCGCGGUAAUACGGAGGAUCCGAGCGUUAUCCGGAUUUAUUGGGUUUAAAGGGUGCGCAGGCGGCUUUCUAAGUCAGUGGUCAAAUCGUGGUGCUCAACGCCAUCCCGCCAUUGAUACUGGAGAGCUUGAUUGCGGUCGAGGUUUGCGGAAUUCGUCGUGUAGCGGUGAAAUGCAUAGAUAUGACGAAGAACACCGAUUGCGUAGGCAGCAGACCAGGCCGUAAAUGACGCUCAUGCACGAAAGUGCGGGGAUCGAACAGGAUUAGAUACCCUGGUA